rnacentral:rRNA from 1 species
CCAGACUCCUACGGGAGGCAGCAGUGGGGAAUAUUGCACAAUGGGGGAAACCCUGAUGCAGCGACGCCGCGUGAGCGAUGAAGUAUUUCGGUAUGUAAAGCUCUAUCAGCAGGGAAGAAAAUGACGGUACCUGACUAAGAAGCCCCGGCUAACUACGUGCCAGCAGCCGCGGUAAUACGUAGGGGGCGAGCGUUAUCCGGAUUCACUGGGUGUAAAGGGAGCGUAGACGGCCAUGCAAGCCAGGGGUGAAAGCCCGGGGCCCAACCCCGGGACUGCCCUUGGAACUGUGCGGCUAGAGUGCGGGAGGGGCAGGCGGAAUUCCUGGUGUAGCGGUGAAAUGCGCAGAUAUCAGGAGGAACACCGGCGGCGAAGGCGGCCUGCUGGACCGCGACUGACGUUGAGGCUCGAAAGCGUGGGGAGCAAACAGGAUUAGAUACCCGAGUAGGG